AUGAUCCGCUUGAUUAUGUUGGCGUUGAGCCUUAACAUAGUAUUUGGCAAUGAUGAACUCACCGUCUUCACAGUAGGCUGCAGAGAAGACAUAACUUUGCACUGUACUUUCCUUCAAAACUGUCAGAACUACACCUCUAUUACGUGGUACAAGUUGAACAAUAACAGCGGUGACAGAUCUACAAUGAAAAUCCUCAAAAAGUCAGAAAGUGUCGUCCAGACUGACAAACCCAACGAUUCUGUGUCACUGGAAAAAAACGCAGCUUUGGUCUUAAGGAAAGUUACUCAAGCUGAUUCUGGGGUGUACACGUGUUUAAUUAAAGCCAAAGCUGGUGGAAAGAACUGUCCAAAUUGGGUUAGACUUAAUAUCUCAGAUUGUGUGUCAACACCUUCACCCGUCAUCUUUGAAUUCUCCACCAAGUUUAUUAAUGGAUCAUGGUCAAACAUCAGCGUCCCAUUGCCUCAUGUGAAUGACUAUUCAGUGCUUUUUGUCCUGUGGGGUUGUGUAGGACUCGGUGUGAGUAAAAUCAUCCUCAGUGCCAUUUCCAUAUGCGUAAGUAUUUCUAAAUGUAGCGGAUUUAUCUCCAUUUCUUCUGCGCAUUUUAUUUGAAUUAUUAUGUUCAGCAAAGCCUAAGAUGUAGCUAAACACUGACAGGUAAGUAAGUAUGUAAACAAGUUUAAAUGCAAAUGCUCUUAAAGAGAACACUAUUAAUUGACCCUGCAAGUCUGAUCCUAGCUGUUAUUGUGAAAAACUAUUUCUAAGCUAUAAUGGUGAUUGCAUCUGUUCUCAGGUUUUCAAGAAACUCAGAAAACUUAAAAGAAGACAGACUUGAGACCAACCACUGUUUAUCAUCACCUUGUUUGUUUGCAGUUGACUCACCAUACUCUGCAAACUCUGCAAACUUGUGUAAAAGACCAUUGGAUGGUUUAGUGAUUUAACAUGUUAAUACUUAAUCUGUGAAUUUACCUAUGAAUCAUGAUACUCUGAGGAACUGAUACUUUAUAUCUGUUAUAUUUAUUUCCAAAAUGACAUUCCUGUCAUAAGGGCAAAAAAUGGAAGAACAUUUUCUUAAACUUUAAAAUUAUGUUUGGAGGAACUAUGCAUAUUGAAAGUUUUCUGAUGCAUAAUCCAUAUUUAAUACACUGCAAAAGAACAAAUUUUUCUUCAUUAUGGAUUUUUCUUACUAGUGUUAUUCUUGUAUUAUUUAUGUACAUUUGUAGUAUAUUUACUAAAGCAAAUUGUAAAACAAAUAUGUAUUGAUUGAUUGUAUCAAACAAAUUUGUAUCCAUAUUACUGGUUUAAAUUGGCCAGUAAGAAUGUUAAAUUAGUUUAAGCUUUUAUAAAUAUUUCAUUCUCUUUGUUUGUAGGUGUUGUGUGUGAAAUUGGUUUGCUCCAUGUGUGCAAAUUUUCAGAAAAACUAAACAUGAGGUCAUCCUAAAAUAGGUAUACUGUGCUUUUGCCCAUGAAUUGUUGAAUUCCCAAAAAUGGAAAUUAGGCUGCUCUUUACUCACCCACGAGGCAUCCAGUUAUGACUUUCUUCUUUCAGACGAAUCCAGUAAGAGUUAUAUAAAAAAUUGUCUUUGAUCUUUCAAGUUCUAUCAUUGCAGUCAGCGGGUGUUGCAUUCCUUCAGCCAAAAAGAAGUUAAAUAAAAAGCGCCCUUCCAUAAAACAAAGUGUCUCGCACAGCUCGGAUCAGUGGUUCUCAUACUUUUUUCGCCAAGUACCGGCUCAGAAAUAUGUCUCUCUAAGUACCACCAUAACGACCAACAUUAAAAUGACAGUGGCACAAUGCAUAGUUAAACAUUAUAAAUAACAUUAUCACUGCAUUGUGCAUAAAUCCAGGUA
rnacentral:lncRNA from 1 species